rnacentral:rRNA from 1 species
UUUCCUACGGGAGGCAGCAGUGAGGAAUAUUGGUCAAUGGGCGGGAGCCUGAACCAGCCAAGUCGCGUGAGGGAAGACGGUCCUAUGGAUUGUAAACCUCUUUAGGCGGGGAGCAAUGCCGGGCACGCGUGCCCGGAGGGAGAGUACCCGCAGAAUAAGCAUCGGCUAACUCCGUGCCAGCAGCCGCGGUAAUACGGAGGAUGCGAGCGUUAUCCGGAUUUAUUGGGUUUAAAGGGUGCGUAGGCGGAUCGUUAAGUCAGUGGUCAAAUUGAGGGGCUCAACCCCUUCCCGCCAUUGAAACUGGC